GGGAGCAUCCUGGCGGCGAGUGGCGAACGGGUGAGAGUACAUCGGAACGUGCCCAUCGUGGGGGAUAACGCCUUGAAAGCUGUGCUAAUACCGCAUACAAUCUACGGAUGAAAGCAGGGGAUCGCAAGACCUUGCGCGAAUGGAGCGGCCGAUGGCAGAUUAGGUAGUUGGUGAGGUAAAGGCUCACCGAGCCUUCUAUCUGUAGCUGGUCUGAGAGGACGACCAGCCACACUGGGACUGAGACACGGCCCAGACUCCUACGGGAGGCACCAAUGGGGAAUUUUGGACAAUGGGCGAAAGCCUGAUCCAACCAUGCCACGUGCAAGAUGAACGCCUUCGGGUUGUGAACUGCUUUUGUACAGAACGAAACGGCCUUUUCUAAUAAAGAGGGCUAAUGACGGUACCGUAAGAAUAAGCACCGGCUAACUACGUGCCAUCAGCCGCGGUAAUACCUAGGGUGCAAGCGUUGUUCCAAAUUACUGGGCGUAAAGCGUGCGCAAGCGGUAAUGCAAGACAUUUGUGAAUCCCCGGGCUCAGCCUGGGAACUGCAUCUGUGACUGCAUUGCUGGAUUACGGUAGAGGGGGAUGGAAAUCCACGUGUAACUCUGAAUGGCGUAGAUAUGCGCACGAACACCGAUGGCAAACGCAAUUC
rnacentral:rRNA from 1 species